rnacentral:rRNA from 1 species
UGAGGAAUAUUGGGCAAUGCCCGCAAGGGUGACCCAGCAACGCCGCGUGGAGGAUGAAUGUCGUAAGAUUGUAAACUCCUGUUAGAGGGGAAGAAUAGUACCGGUUGGACCGGUAUAUGACUGUACCCUCAGAGAAAGCCCCGGCUAACUACGUGCCAGCAGCCGCGGUAAUACGUAGGGGGCAAGCGUUGUCCGGAUUUACUGGGUGUAAAGGGUGCUCAGGCGGAUUUGUAAGUCAGAGGUGAAAUCUUACAGCUUAACUGUGAAACUGCCUUUGAUACUGCAAGCCUAGAAUAUGGAAGAGAGUGAUGGAAUAUCUGGUGUAGCAGUGAAAUGCGUAGAUAUCAGAUAGAACACCAAUGGCGAAGGCAGUCACUUGGUCCAUUACUGACGCUAAAGCACGAAAGCGUGGGUAGCAAACA